CAGAAGAGAAGGCAGACCAAGUAAAUGAUUUGCUCUGGAUGAGAAAUGAAGACGGCCAUCUUGUGCUCAAACAAACAGAAGUCCUCUGAUGAUCUCAUCAGCCAAAUGAGGGGUUUUGACCAAGUGAUGCUCUUGAAAGGAGUGAAAGAAGAGGAUGUGCUAAAUUCUCUUCAGAGAAAAAGCUUCUCAAAAGGUCUCAAAACAGCUUGAAGAAUGGUCUGGGAUCUUAGGACUGAGAGAUCCUCUGGCUGAGAACAAGCUACACCACAUCAGUGCUGGAUAUCAACCACAAACUGUUUCCAGACACGAGAGAAGAAGAACACGAUGGGGAGAUGAAACCAGUUUAGAUGUGAUGAUGGGAAUCAUUAUUUUCUGGAACAGUAUCUCAUGUCUUAUAUGUAUCACAUGAUCUGUAUCACAGUUGACUGGAUGGGACUGUGUGACUUUUAAGGACAUUUCAUCACUCAUCUGUGUGAACUGAUUUAUAUAUGAGGUUAAUGUAUUUUUGAUGAUAAUUAUUUUCAUUGAAUCUUAUUUGUCUUGAUGCUACUUUAUCAACUUUAUAGUCUAUGCUUCAAUAAAAUGAAAAUGGUGAAUAUUGUGUUCUGAAGAUUCUUGGUAAAUACAUAAUUUUACUAGGUAGGCUCAUAUGUGUUUAUUUUAGACUUGGAAAAACAACAUAUUAAUUAUUGGGAUUAUUUUUUUAUUUAAA